UUCUAUUGUUCCGUCGAGGGAUAGAUACCUAUAAAAGAAAAGUGUGGAAGACAAAUUUAUCAGGAGCUCAAUCUGGACGAAUUCGCCGCCAGUUCAACAGCUCUGCUAUACAAAUACAGCUUCCAUUUGGGUCAAAAGAGCCAUAAAGUUUGAAAAACAAUGAAAAUUUCACUAGUUGCCGCUGCAUUGUUACUGGUGGCACAUUUGGUGGAAGCCACCAGUGAGAGAUCAGGGAACGAAGUUUAUUCUGCCCAGAAACGGUCUUCACUCACGAAAGGUCUUGCUCGCAGAAGAGCAUGCGGCUCCAUUAACUGCAAGGUGUCGGGCUGUGAGUCCAGGGG